rnacentral:rRNA from 1 species
GGUGAACGCUGGCGGUAGGCCUAACACAUGCAAGUCGAACGGCAGCUCAGUAAGAGCUUGCUCUUACGGGUGGCGAGUGGCGGACGGGUGAGGAAUACAUCGGAAUCUACUUUUUCGUGGGGGAUAACGUAGGGAAACUUACGCUAAUACCGCAUACGACCUACGGGUGAAAGCAGGGGAUCUUCGGACCUUGCGCGAUUGAAUGAGCCGAUGUCGGAUUAGCUAGUUGGCGGGGUAAAGGCCCACCAAGGCGACGAUCCGUAGCUGGUCUGAGAGGAUGAUCAGCCACACUGGAACUGAGACACGGUCCAGACUCCUACGGGAGGCAGCAGUGGGGAAUAUUGGACAAUGGGCGCAAGCCUGAUCCAGCCAUACCGCGUGGGUGAAGAAGGCCUUCGGGUUGUAAAGCCCUUUUGUUGGGAAAGAAAAGCAGCAGGUUAAUACCCCGCUGUUCUGACGGUACCCAAAGAAUAAGCACCGGCUAACUUCGUG